UUUGAUUCUGGCUCAGGAUGAACGCUAGCUACAGGCUUAACACAUGCAAGUCGAGGGGAAACGACAUCGAAAGCUUGCUUUUGAUGGGCGUCGACCGGCGCACGGGUGAGUAACGCGUAUCCAACCUGCCCACCACUUGGGGAUAACCUUGCGAAAGUAAGACUAAUACCCAAUGACGUCCAUAGAAGACAUCUGAAAUGGAUUAAAGAUUUAUCGGUGAUGGAUGGGGAUGCGUCUGAUUAGCUUGUUGGCGGGGUAACGGCCCACCAAGGCGACGAUCAGUAGGGGUUCUGAGAGGAAGGUCCCCCACAUUGGAACUGAGACACGGUCCAAACUCCUACGGGAGGCAGCAGUGAGGAAUAUUGGUCAAUGGACGAGAGUCUGAACCAGCCAAGUAGCGUGCAGGAUGACGGCCCUAUGGGUUGUAAACUGCUUUUAUAAGGGAAUAAAGUGAGUCUCGUGAGACUUUUUGCAUGUACCUUAUGAAUAAGGACCGGCUAAUUCCGUGCCAGCAGCCGCGGUAAUACGGAAGGUCCGGGCGUUAUCCGGAUUUAUUGGGUUUAAAGGGAGCGUAGGCCGGAGAUUAAGCGUGUUGUGAAAUGUAGACGCUCAACGUCUGCACUGCAGCGCGAACUGGUUUCCUUGAGUACGCACAAAGUGGGCGGAAUUCGUGGUGUAGCGGUGAAAUGCUUAGAUAUCACGAAGAACUCCGAUUGCGAAGGCAGCUCACUGGAGCGCAACUGACGCUGAAGUUCGAAAGUGCGGGUAUCGAACAGGAUUAGAUACCCUGGUAGUCCGCACGGUAAACGAUGGAUGCCCGCUGUUGGUCUGAAUAGGUCAGCGGCCAAGCGA
rnacentral:rRNA from 1 species